GGAGUUGUGGCUCAGGGGUAGAGCACUUGCCUAGCAUGUAUGAAGCGCUAAGUUCGAUCCUCAGCACCA
rnacentral:tRNA from 1 species